GGUUCCUUGCUGGAGAAGCAGGGCACGUGCAAAAUCCUGAUGAAGUGCUUACACUUUGCACGCGCUCUUCUUCUCCAACACGGGC
rnacentral:pre_miRNA from 1 species